ACCUGCCCAUCAGAAGGGGAUAACACUUGGAAACAGGUGCUAAUACCGUAUAACAAUCGAAACCGCAUGGUUUUGAUUUGAAAGGCGCUUUCGGGUGUCGCUGAUGGAUGGACCCGCGGUGCAUUAGCUAGUUGGUGAGGUAACGGCUCACCAAGGCCACGAUGCAUAGCCGACCUGAGAGGGUGAUCGGCCACAUUGGGACUGAGACACGGCCCAAACUCCUACGGGAGGCAGCAGUAGGGAAUCUUCGGCAAUGGACGAAAGUCUGACCGAGCAACGCCGCGUGAGUGAAGAAGGUUUUCGGAUCGUAAAACUCUGUUGUUAGAGAAGAACAAGGAUGAGAGUAACUGUUCAUCCCUUGACGGUAUCUAACCAGAAAGCCACGGCUAACUACGUGCCAGCAGCCGCGGUAAUACGUAGGUGGCAAGCGUUGUCCGGAUUUAUUGGGCGUAAAGCGAGCGCAGGCGGUUUCUUAAGUCUGAUGUGAAAGCCCCCGGCUCAACCGGGGAGGGUCAUUGGAAACUGGGAGACUUGAGUGCAGAAGAGGAGAGUGGAAUUCCAUGUGUAGCGGUGAAAUGCGUAGAUAUAUGGAGGAACACCAGUGGCGAAGGCGGCUCUCUGGUCUGUAACUGACGCUGAGGCUCGAAAGCGUGGGGAGCAAACAGGAUUAGAUACCCUGGUAGUCCACGCCGUAAACGAUGAGUGCUAAGUGUUGGAGGGUUUCCGCCCUUCAGUGCUGCAGCUAACGCAUUAAGCACUCCGCCUGGGGAGUACGACCGCAAGGUUGAAACUCAAAGGAAUUGACGGGGGCCCGCACAAGCGGUGGAGCAUGUGGUUUAAUUCGAAGCAACGCGAAGAACCUUACCAGGUCUUGACAUCCUUUGACCACUCUAGAGAUAGAGCUUCCCCUUCGGGGGCAAAGUGACAGGUGGUGCAUGGUUGUCGUCAGCUCGUGUCGUGAGAUGUUGGGUUAAGUCCCGCAACGAGCGCAACCCUUAUUGUUAGUUGCCAUCAUUCAGUUGGGCACUCUAGCAAGACUGCCGGUGACAAACCGGAGGAAGGUGGGGAUGACGUCAAAUCAUCAUGCCCCUUAUGACCUGGGCUACACACGUGCU
rnacentral:rRNA from 1 species